CAGUCGCCGCGGUAAUACGUAGGUGGCAAGCGUUGUCCGGAAUUAUUGGGCGUAAAGGGCUCGCAGGCGGUUUCUUAAGUCUGAUGUGAAAGCCCCCGGCUCAACCGGGGAGGGUCAUUGGAAACUGGGAAACUUGAGUGCAGAAGAGGAGAGUGGAAUUCCAGGUGUAGCGGUGAAAUGCGUAGAGAUGUGGAGGAACACCAGUGGCGAAGGCGACUCUCUGGUCUGUAACUGACGCUGAGGAGCGAAAGCGUGGGGAGCGAACAGGAUUAGAGACCCCUGUAGUCCCUGUCUCUUAUAC
rnacentral:rRNA from 1 species